AUUGAACGCUGGCGGCAGGCCUAACACAUGCAAGUCGAACGAGUGGCGGACGGGUGAGUAAUGUCUGGGAAACUGCCUGAUGGAGGGGGGUAACUACUGGAAACGGUAGCUAAUCCCGCAUACCAUCGGAUGUGCCCAGAUGGGAUUAGCUAGUUGGUGGGGUAACGGCUCACCUAGGCGACGAUCCCUCGCUGGUCUGAGAGGAUGACCAGCCACACUGGAACUGAGACACGGUCCAGACUCCUACGGGAGGCAGCAGUGGGGAAUAUUGCGCAAUGGGCGCAAGCCUGAUGCAGCCAUGCCGCGUGUAUGAAGAAGGCCUUCGGGUUGUAAAGUACUUUCAGCGGGGAGGCGUUACUCGCAGAAGAAGCACCGGCUAACUCCGUGCCAGCAGCCGCGGUAAUUC
rnacentral:rRNA from 1 species